rnacentral:rRNA from 1 species
CCUACGGGAGGCAGCAGUGAGGAAUAUUGGUCAAUGGACGAGAGUCUGAACCAGCCAAGUAGCGUGAAGGAUGACUGCCCUAUGGGUUGUAAACUUCUUUUAUAUGGGAAUAAAAUGUUCCACGUGUGGGAUUUUGUAUGUACCAUAUGAAUAAGGAUCGGCUAACUCCGUGCCAGCAGCCGCGGUAAUACGGAGGAUCCGAGCGUUAUCCGGAUUUAUUGGGUUUAAAGGGAGCGUAGGUGGAUUGUUAAGUCAGUUGUGAAAGUUUGCGGCUCAACCGUAAAAUUGCAGUUGAAACUGGCAGUCGUGAGUACAGUAGAGGUGGGCGGAAUUCGUGGUGUAGCGGUGAAAUGCUGAGAUAUCACGAAGAACUCCGAUUGCGAAGGCAGCUCACUGGACUGCAACUGACACUGAGGCUCGAAAGUGUGGGUAUCAAACAGGACUAGAUACCCUAGUAGUC